rnacentral:lncRNA from 1 species
GCAGUUGCUGCCCAAGCCUGGGUGCUCCUGGUGGUCCUGCACGAUCGGCUGUGCAGUAGGCUUGUCAAGGAGAGGAUCCUCCCUGGCCUCUCCUUGGGCAGAGGAGGUGGUCCAUAAAGCUGCUCUGGAGCCAAAAUAUUGCAGUCACAUCUCGGCAGCGACCUGCCCUCAGGUGGCAUUUUCAAGUCAUGGAGAAGGCGGAGAUCAUCUUUGUAACAAGAAGAAAACCAACCAAAUGAAAAUGAAAUGAAUUCUCUCAAAAAGAAUUAAGUCAAGACAGGAAGAAGGCUCGCAAAGUAAUAUAAAAUAUAUCUUAUGGUUUAUGUAAAAUUCUUAAUAAAAUACCUUCUUU